AGUCCGCUCACGUGUGCGAGCAGAUAGGUUUUCACGAACACGCCACACGAGUGCACCCACCAAACACGGGAGAGAAUGGGAAAGGCCUCACACGCACUCGGAGGCUCUCGACCAACCCACAGCAACGGCUGCAUAAGCGUCUCGGCUCACUCGCUGGCAUCUCCUCCCCCUCCCUCCUGCCCUGGCCCGACCCCCUUCACCCCCCCACCACACUAUUCAACUCCGCCCCAACCCAUACACGCAUCUCUCCGCUCUCUUGGCCUCUCCUCAGCCGCCACCUGUUCCUUGAGCAUCCCGUCAGGCGUGCACCCAACAGGGCGACUGGAGUGCGUGAACGGUCGUAGAAGGUGUCUGUGUGUGUGUCUCCGCAGGUACGCCAACUGCCCGCACGUCCCCCUUACAUGUAGCACAUUCUUCUCCCCAAAAUCUCAUCGACGUCUUCUAGGCAGCUCUCCCUACCUCACGCACCCACACACACACACACACACUCUCCCCCCCCCUACCACGUGAGUGCGUGCGUGUCUUUCGGCCCCCCCCCUCAGUUAACACCACCCCCUCAACCACUCAACACCGAUCGACACGCUCGCCUCUCUCGCUCUGCUGGGCCAUCCCUCCCUUCUUCCCUCCUCCCCCUCCCCUGCCUCCUCGGCACGCUGGCCUCUUUCUUUAUCCUUCAUUGCUUUCACCCCUUUCCUGUGUCUUCCUCCUUUUUCCUGCUUGCUCGACUGCCGGGGGUGGCUGUAAACGAGCGUGUGUGUGUGAGAGUUUUUGUGGGUGUCUGAGCGCCCCUCCCCGACCACCACCACCUUCACACGCGCAGCCACACGCAUACCCUAUCCCCUCGCUUCCCUCCCUCUCAUCGGCCCUCCGUCUCUCCUGUCUUCGCUUCACCUUCCGCUGCACAGAUUGUGACGGGAGCCGGCUGCACUGCCAGCUGUCACGUUCACGAAGACGUGUGCAUACGUCUGCGACUGGGCCUCUGUGCCUUUAUGUGGAGACGGCCCUCUGCGAUGCCGUCAUGCUCCGCCUCGGCUCGGUCCUCCCUGUCUCGCCGCCGCCUCAUCGCGACCUCCCCCUCUUCAUCAUGCUCCGCGUCCUCCGCAGAAUUCGAUGAUGGCGGCGAUGCCGCCGGCAGUGCACCUGACAGCGAGGAAGCGCACUCGCCGCCACGUGCGUGCAUGGACGGGUCUCCGACAGAGGUGGCGGAUGGAGCAGAGAAUCUGGUAGCCGUCAAGGCUGCCGACAGUGCUGCCAAUGUACGCGAUAAGAGCGCCGACCAUGGGCGAGGAUGUGACGAUGCUGCUGUGAAACCCAUCCCGGCCAACUCCUUCUUCUCACGCCCGUCGUCCACGCCGGCGACAAGGACGGCACCACGGACUGACCACGUCGGCAGCCUCGAUGACGACGAACUCCAACAGGUAGAAGCGCGGUCUGCAAACUCGCAGACUCAUCACGGCUCGCUGAUCUCUGCGUCGGCGAAGAAGGACCGCAGUGGCGGUGUAUGUGCAGACGACGGCAACGGCGGCGCAGAGGUGCGGCAAGGACAGCAGCUGAGCUCGCCCCUCAUCACGUGCACAGAGCCCUCCUCCGACAUCAUGGGCGCCGUAGGCCUACUACGUCACCAGCACGUGCAGCACACCGCCGCACCGCCGUCAUGCAUCGCCCCUUCUGCUCCGUCGUCCCCCACAUGCGGCUCACCUCCGCUGGUCCCGACCGAAGCUACAGAGCAUCAACGGCAGCAGCAGCAACACAUCGACAACACGGCACUACCGUCGGCGCUGGACGUCGUGCUUCCUCGCGCGCUCACCCAACGAGCUCCUUCGCUGCGGAGAGCCGCAAAGAACCAGCCACUGUCACCGUCCUCCUCGAGGCCGAGUGUGCCGGCAGCUGCACACCCACCUUUGCUCUCCAAGUCCACUUCUCAGCCAGAAACACAGCACACGCGCUCGUCCUCGCCAUCCUUGCGCAGCCCAACGCCGCUGGACCUCACGGCACCGCCGAAGCGUCGCCCAGCUCGCCGCAGCGACAUGGUGGAGGGCGCGGAGGAGACGGGCGAAGUCGACGACCCGAGCGAAGACGACAAUGUGGAGCGGCGAGGCAACGGAUCUGCUGCUCCGCCCAAGUCCGAUCAGCCCCAGCUGCUGUGCGCAGCGAAGAGUUGUCAGGGGGCACGGCAGAGGCCACGCAGGCUCAGCUUCAGUGAGUCAUCAGCAGCGGCAACAGAGGACCACUUCGCCACCGCCUCCCAGGCAGAAGCCGGCGCACUUGACAAGGUCGGUGUGGCGCCAUCGCCCUCGACCCCUCCUCCCGCUGUACAUUAUUCCGGCGCCAACGCGUAUGGAGCACAAGCUGAGGCACAGGAGGUCAUCGCCGCGUCGGGCGAGUCGGAGCGCGAGCGUAUAAUCAGCACGCCAGGGGCUGAUUAUACGCUGGCAUCAACGGCUUCCGUGACGGUGCCGCACACAUCGCUCAAACCCACAGCAGCAGUCGUGGCGCAACAGCAGCUGCUGUCCUCCUCGCCGUCACGACACAUUUCACAUGAGCUCUUCCCCUCUCCAGAGCCUCUGAGGGACCUUGGGAGCCCUAUGCGACUCCACGAACGGCAGCGGCCGUCGUCGCACCCGCUCGUGGGCACGGAUGGCCACGCGCUGCCAGCACCAGUGUUCCUGCCUGACCCCCCUGCCACGGCAACGAGAGCAGCAUCGUGCGCAGCGACAUCCGCCACAGUGAAGCCACUCUCUGGUAGACAUGUAGAGCGAUCACCGCAACAUUUACAGCGGCAGCUGUCGUCAGCCGUGAGCCGGAGCAUCCGCGGCGCAGACGGCAGUGGCAGUGGCAGUGCCGAUGGCGCACCGCCAUGUGUGCCGCAGGUGAUUCCGACGCACGACAGCGUGUUCUUCCCUAUGGGGACGGACGUGAUUGCACCCGUGGUGCUGCACUACCUCACCGUCGCCGGCUGGUCCACGACGGCGGGUGGGCGUGACUACUUCAGUCACCGGCGCCUGCGUGGAGGCGAGGUGGCGGGCCACACGGUGCGCUGGCUGCACACGGCGAAGCCACGCAACCAAUUCGUUUUCCUUGUCGCGCCUGUGAUAAACCGCAAAGAGGCGGCGGUCGAGUGCGGCAAAGACGCCGCGGCUGAACAGCGCCGGCGGUGCACACCGAGCAGCAUCGCCGGCGCGUCUCCGACAGCAAGCGGAAGCGAAGGCGGUGGCGCCACUGGGCCCGCACUCGACGUGCCGCCGAGCAGCGGUUCCAGCACAAAGGCCCACAGGACAUGGAGCGGAACCACCCGCGCGACGACUAUGAAAACGCGCUGGGGAUGGAAUAUGCCCGCUAAACGGCUACAGGCGCUCCGCGCACGCGUCUUCGGCGAAGCGCCGUGGUUCACCUACAGCACCAAAACGGUAUGUGCGUGCAGUCUCAUUGCCCAGGUCAACGACGACGACUCCCUCUCCGUCUCUGAUGCGGCCACGCCGAGCGGCGACAGCCUUAGCGACCCCAGCAAGGACGACGGCGAUGACGAGGAUGAGGUUGCAGACAGCGUCAGUGGCAGCAGCUCUUGCAGCGAUGACGCUUUCCAGCGUUCGCCACGCAUACGGCGCUCAGCCCAAUGUCUGUCUCCGUCCCUUCCAGAAGCGCGGAUGUCAGGGGUGAGUGGUGGCAGUCUGCGCAAGGGCAUCCCCCCGUACAGCAUGUCACCAGCGCGCUUGGCACGGCAGUCCUCACAAAGCCCACCUGCAAGCGUGGCGAGUGCGGCAUCUUCGCCCACAAGCUCGUCAUCGCCAUUGGUAGGGCUGGCGUUGCCAUCGCCAGGUAUACAGCGAGCGACAACUCAGAAUGCCUUACCGGUCAUCGUCCCAGCUCGCAGCGCCACCCCUGUCGAACUGCGACGCAACAGCAGCAGCGCCGGGGGUGGCAGCGGCAUCUACAGCAGCUACGUGUGGUCACCUGUCACAGGCACGGCGACUGCGGCGAGCAUGGCCUCGCCGGUCACCCCGCGGCAGCCACUACAGUCGCUCGUUCCUGCAGCGGCGGCAGCGUCCUCGUCGGCGGCCGCGAGUACCGCACCGGCGUCCGUCGGCGUUGAGGUCGUGGUGGUGGCCCACGCCGAUGUUACGGCGAUGGACUAUGCCCCUCGGCUCACCUCGCAUCGGCUUUCGAUCGAGGCCAAAGCAGCUCACACGUACUUCUUCCCCUUGCUCAGCGAUGCAUUGGCGUACUACCAGUGCGAAGACGCGAUGGGGCUCAUGGAAGAGCAGUGGGCUGCCGGGGUGACGAGCCAGAUUCCACGCUCACGUGCGGCGGCCCCGCGCUCCCAGCGGCAGCAGCACCCACAGCGGCAGUCCAGCUACCUGUCGUCAGCCGGUUUCGGCAGUGGAAGUCGCAACACGAGCAUGCGCACAGCACCGCUUCUGCACGAGGAUGGCGACUCACCGAACCUCUUCUCAUCUACCUCGCGGGAGCCGCCGAAAACGACAGCGGAUGCGCACCGAUGUCGCGAAGGUGUCUUCCGCGCGGCACAAACGCCUUGGCGAGGCACCUCCACUGCAGACAGCGCGCCGCACGCAUUGUGUGGCAGCGAGGCGGGGAGCGAUAGCACCGCCACCGGUACGAGUCUCUCCGGGACUCCUCUCGGACCGCAUCGACACCAUCAGCCGCCUCACGGCACACCCGCUCUCGUGCGCUCAGCAAAGUUGCCGCCGUCGCAGUCACUGAGUCUGUCAGAUGCGCUGCGCAGCGCUCAGAGAAUGGGAAGCGUCAGCUGCAGUAGUUCGCACGGCGGCGGCGGCCAGCUGGGCCUCAGCAGCAGCAGCACCUUCAGGCCCCCGACGCUUCUCCCUCGCACCGCCGCAACCGCCCGCGUCACCCCUGCUUCAGCACCUUCGGCCCCUCGCCUUGUUCCCACCUCGCAGCCGCAGCUGUGCUGCCGGUCGACAGCGCAACCGCACCUGACGUCCUCGCAUGGUGAGGUAGUUGUCAGCGUGUACACAGCCGACCCCGUCUUUAACACCGUGCUGCGCGAGCUGCUGGUGCCGGAGCCGGGCACACACCCGUACACGGUGAGUGUGGCGGAGCAGAAGCGGCUCCUUUCCAUGGUCGAGGUGGGCAUGCCGGCGUGGUGCGUCUUCUACAGCUCCACUGGCCUGCCGUACCGUCGUCUGUUUCGCCUUCUCUACUCGGGUCUCACCAACCUCUGGCCACUGCUCUCGCUCGCAGUGGGGCUGUACGACUUGUACAAGCACCUACCGCAGCUGAAGCGGUUCAUGGAGCACACGCUGGAGCCCAUCACGCGGUGGAUGGAGCAGCGCUUCACGAUCCGCGUCUCCGUCCUCGUCACGUAUCUAAUCUCUGUCGUUGUCACCAUCUGCAGCAGCCUCAGCUCCUUCGUCUCCCAGUUUUACGUGGUGCAGCUCUUCUCUCUACCGAUCGUGCAGCUCGUGCUGGCGCUGCUGAAGCUGCCCUUCGUGAUCGCCUUCGACACGGUGUGGACUUUGGCGACGACCGUCCUCGGCACGGUCGGCCUCGCGCUGCAGGUAGUGCGGAUGGUGGUCAUGGCACCGCUCGUGCUGGUGACGAACUUAGCGUCGCUGCGCGACACGUUUGGUGCCGCCGUGCCGAUGGCCGUCGAGGGCACGUCGGUUUCGGUGAAGCAGUGGCGCGCGUGGGUUGAGUUCUGGCAAACCGUGGCGUCGCCCAUGAAGAACGCGGCGCGGGCUUGGUGGGACUCGAUGAUGCACGUCAGCACCUCGGCCGCGCGGCGUGAGACGUCCAUACGGCGGUGGACCUCGCCUAAGCUGGAGCAACUGGCAAUGGUGUUGGGGGAUGUGCAAGAUUGUCUCACCAUCAACGCACAGCUGUGGUGGACAUAUAUUCUGCUGCCAGGCAUCGAGCGCAAGGUGCUGCUGAGCGUGAUGCUGGUGUACAUGUAUUGGCUGUUCUUGGGCAUCUCCCCCGAGCUCUGGGAUGAAGUCAUCUACGCCUCCGGCGUGCGGCACCACCCGUCUCUCAGAAGAGGUCCAUCGACGUCGGGGGUACAGAAAGAGACGCCGGCACCGUCCUCGCCUUUCCCAGCCACACCACCAGCCGACAGUCACGUGGAUGCACAGUACAAGGCUGGCAGCAUCGACACGCGCGACGGCGACAGAUGUGCGUCGGUGUCGACUACAUCUGUGGGUGGGGAGUGGAGCUUGUACGCCUACUUCCACACCCUUCUUCGAGAUGCUGGGAGCCACGCGUCCCCCUCCUCCUCUUCCGCCGGCACGCGACCGCCGCCAGCGGUCUCCGCGGAGAAGUCCUCGAGCGCCGCUGGCGUCAGCGGCGUCCGUUCUCUCAUCUUGCGCCCGGAGCCGCAGCAGACGUUUGCAGCCCUCGUGGCCGAGCUGCUGUUACCCAACAUGGUACUGGAGCUCCUGCAUCACGUUCGCAGUGCGCUCGUGCUCGGCUGGUCCCGCGGUGUGUCGGCUGCGUCGCGCAUGGCGGCGCGACGGCCCCGGCGAAACAUGCAACAAGGGUAGUGGAGACCCCACAACACCCUUCCAGUGCUCGUGUGCAGAUCCGCUGGAUGCGGUCUGCCAAAAGAAGAACCACAGAGCUGCGGACGCGGCCGCCGCGUGACGAGGUAGGUCACUCCACUCGUCGCGGACGAGCUGCCGCGCAUCUGGCAAGGAGCCGUGACCGCCCAGUGGGGCCACAUUGUCGGACGUGAAGCACAGCGUGCAGCAGCGGCGGUGGAAGAGGAGGCGCCGCAGGACAAAAAGACAGCGGCGAGCAACAAGCGCACGUGGAAGAGAUGCGAUUUCGACACAUGCUGGGACGAGAAGCAAGCAGGCGGGGGCGUGCGUUACUCGCAAGCAGACGCAGCGGCGCCGCUCGUUUUGGCCCCCUAACGUACAGUGAAGCUGUAAAACCGGAAGUCGCCGCCGAGGAGCAUGCGGCGCGGCAUACGCCUCUCCUCAUAUCUGCCAGCUGGGUGAGGGGCGAUUUGUUGUGGCGGGCUGAGGUGCUGUUGUGGCGGGCUGAGGUGCUGUCGUGUCGAGGACGACAGACGCUAUGCGCGUCAUGGCCACGCUGCCUCGUUCUGGCCCCAGAUCCAUGAUUCUUGGCGCAGUCUGCCGCAUUUUCGUUUUCUCUCCUCUGACUCUGGAUGCAUUCCCGGUGUGCUCGUGUGUGUAUGUGUGUGUGUGUGUGUGUGUGUGUGCCUCUCUCUCUCUGUCAACUGGGCACAUCUCCAGCAUCGCGGAGGCUGGUGCCGCCACCGCCGCCGCCCUC
rnacentral:misc_RNA from 1 species